AUCCUUUUUCAGUUCAUAAGCGUGAUGAUUGGGUUUUCAUGUGCAUAUGUGAGAUGUGCCUCCCUCAAAACUUGUUACAUUGGCGCAUUUCCUGUCUGACA